rnacentral:rRNA from 1 species
UACGGAGGAUGCGAGCGUUAUCCGGAUUUAUUGGGUUUAAAGGGUGCGUAGGCGGUUUUUAAGUUAGUGGUUAAACGUCGGGGCUUCACCUUGAUUUGCCAUUAAUACUGUAAGACUCGAGUUCAGACGAGGUAGGCGGAAUAAGUUAAGUAGCGGUGAAAUGCUUAGAUAUAACUUAGAACUCCGAUAGCGAAGGCAGCUUACCAGACUGCGACUGACGCUGAAGCACGAGAGCGUGGGUAGCGAACAGG